GUCACGAAGUUCAUCACUGACCUGAAGAGAUGCUUCUGCGCCAAAGAUGACUGAUUAAUGUACACAGAGACAUCAAGGUUUACUUUAAGAGUAGCUACCGAAGAGCAGGUAUUAGAAGUCAUUUUCUUAGAGCCCCGUGAAUAAUCGUCGGCACCCAGACCAACAUGUGUUUCACCGAUUGUUACAUCGAGCAAGAGAAGAUGGAUCUUUUCAACCUAAUCGGAAAGGCCGUGCUGGAGCUCCACGGAAUGUACGUGUAGGUGCUGAAGAGCAAGUGUUAGAAAACAUGGAAGCGGAUCCUAGGAGAAGUGUCCUCUACGUAGCGCAAAUGAGUGGAUGCCCAAGAUCGACCACUCAUCGUAUCCUUCAAGAGAGAAGACUGUAUCCUUACCAUUACACGAGAGUGCAGCAUCUGCGACCAACCGACUACCCGCGACGAGUACAUUUUGCUCAAUGGUUACUGCGACAAAAUGAACUAAAUCCUGAUUUUUCACGGCGCAUUCUUUUCAACGACGAAUGCUCAUUUUCCCGAGAAGGAAUGUUUAAUGCACACAAUUGGCAAUUCUGGGCACACGAAAAUCCACAUCUCACUAGGGUGACAGCAUAUCAGGAGCGAUUUACUAUUAAUCUAUGGGCUGGAAUCAUUGGUACUACUGUGGUGGGGCCGUUUGUGUUACCUGAUCGCCUUAAUGGGGAGGCAUAUGCUAAUUUUCUACGACUAGAGCUUCCG